GAUGAGAGUGCGGGAUAAGGACUAUUAUAUGCAUUUUAAGAGUACCGGCUAAGAUUGGAACGAGAACUCAUGACAAGUUUAAGGACCGCCGGUGAAAUUUACUCUCUUUUUUUUUUUAGAAACCGGGUUUAUCAUUCACGUAAAAAGCUGAUAGUUUACAUCCCAUCUUACAAAGACAACUCUGAAAAAGAAACAAAUUACAUCCAGGUUGUUGCAAGAUUCUCCUGGUCAUCCUCGUGGCCGACGAUUGGAGCCAUCGCAUGAAGCCAACUCGCCUUGUAGCCAUUGAACGAACAGGCUGAGCAAGAUGGCCGGUGGCCAUCAUAUCGCCGGAGAGCAAGAGAUCUAGCGCCUCGAGCACCGACGACUCCGGCUCGCCAAACGUCGAGUUACCCCGAGGGGAAGUAAACUACCAGAAGAGGUGGGAAGAAGAAACCAACCCGAUUUCACACGUUGGUAGAAAACACACCUUCCAUCGCCGCCGUCCGUAUCGCUUGAAAGGUACUCGCCAGCCGCCAAGACGACGCAACCUUCCGCACAAUUACCAGAGAUAAAAAGGAGGAACAAAAGCUUUACCUCGCCGUCGUCGCAGCAGACGCCAACGCCGACGAGGAAGAACCCUACCUCACCAUGCCGAACCUUCAUAGAAGGGAUUAUUUGGAUCCUAAACUAGAUAUCUAGAGCUAAAUAUAUACAAAUAUCCGGUAGAUCCUCCGGCGCCGACGAGGCCACCGGAGGCGAGGGGGAAGCGCCGGAAUCAGGCCGGAGCCGAGCUUUCACCUUCCACCACCGCUCUAUCCUGUAGCGAGGGAAU
rnacentral:lncRNA from 1 species